rnacentral:rRNA from 1 species
CCUACGGGUGGCAGCAGUGGGGGAUAUUGCACAAUGGGGGAAACCCUGAUGCAGCGACGCCGCGUGGGUGAAGAAGCGCCUCGGCGCGUAAUGCCCUGUCAGCAGGGAAGAAGAAAUGACGGUACCUGAGUAAGAAGCCCCGGCUAACUACGUGCCAGCAGCCGCGGUAAUACGUAGGGGGCAAGCGUUAUCCGGAAUUACUGGGUGUAAAGGGAGCGUAGACGGUGAUGUAAGUCUGGAGUGAAAGGCUGGGGCCCAACCCCCGGACUGCUCUGGAAACUAUGUGACUGGAGUGCAGGAGAGGUGAGCGGAAUUCCUAGUGUAGCGGUGAAAUGCGUAGAUAUUAGGAGGAACACCAGUGGCGAAGGCGGCUCACUGGACUGUAACUGACGUUGAGGCUCGAAAGCGUGGGGAGCAAACAGGAUUAGAUACCCCUGUAGUC